rnacentral:misc_RNA from 1 species
GAUGAAGAACGCAGCGAAUUGCGAUAUGUAAUGUGAAUUGCAGAAUUCAGUGAAUCAUCGAAUCUUUGAACGCAAAUUGCACCCUUUGGUAUUCCUUAGGGCAUGCCUGUUCGAGCGUCAUUUAAACCUUCAAGCUCAGCUUGGUGUUGGGUGACUGUCCGCUUCACCGCGGACUCGCCUCAAAAUUAUUGGCGGCCGGUACAUUGGCUCUCGAGCGCAGCAGAAACGCGUAACUCGAGGUCCUCGUGCUGGCUCCCAGAAGCUAUCUUCACAAUUUUGACCUCGGAUCAGGUAGGGAUACCCGCUGAACUUAAGCAUAUCAAUAAGCGGAGGA